rnacentral:lncRNA from 1 species
CGUCACCCUGUGGCCACCAGAAGCACAGGCUUAGGAGGAGUACUUCCAGGCUACCGCCAAUGACCCUUCAAAGCUCAAAGGCUCUUCAGUCAGCUUGUGAGACAGCAAGACCAACUCUUCCCCUCAGGAGGAGGAUGAAAGAGGCUGAGGAGAAGGAAGACUUUUAUGAUGAUCCACUUCCACCUAAUCAAUAGAAAUUAAUGGACAGGAUUCUGAUAAGUACUCCUGAAUACAGGUUCCUGAUAACUUGGGAAACCAUACCACUGGACUAGGUAAAA